UACGGAGGGGCUAGCGUUGUUCGGAAAUACUGGGCGUAAAGCGAACGUAGGCGGCUUGGCAAGUCAGGGGUGAAAUCCCAGUGCUCAACACUGGAACUGCCUUUGAAACUGCCAGGCUUGAAUCCUGGAGAGGCGAGUGGAAUUCCGAGUGUAGAGGUGAAAUUCGUAGAUAUUCAGAAGAACACCAGUGGCGAAGGCGACUCGCUGGACAGGUAUUGACGCUGAGGUUCGAAAAGCGUGGGGAGCAAACAGG
rnacentral:rRNA from 1 species